rnacentral:hammerhead_ribozyme from 1 species
AUCCAGCUGACGAGUCCCAAAUAGGAAUAAAUUUGAGUUGUCCUGGAU